rnacentral:rRNA from 1 species
AACGCGUCUCCGUUAAUGACUUUAGGUGCUUGCACUUGAGAGAUUUAACAUUGAGACGAGUGGCGAACUGGUGAGUAACACGUGGGUAACCUGCCCUUGAAGUAGGGGAUAACACUUGGAAACAGGUGCUAAUACCGUAUAACAACCAAAACUACCUGGUUUUGGUUUAAAAGACGGCUUCGGCUGUCACUUUAGGAUGGACCCGCGGCGUAUUAGCUUGUUGGUAAGGUAACGGCCUACCAAGGCGAUGAUACGUAGCCGACCUGAGAGGGUAAUCGGCCACAUUGGGACUGAGACACGGCCCAAACUCCUACGGGAGGCAGCAGUAGGGAAUCUUCCACAAUGGACGAAAGUCUGAUGGAGCAACGCCGCGUGAGUGAUGAAGGGUUUCGGCUCGUAAAACUCUGUUGUUGGAGAAGAACAGGUGUCAGAGUAACUGUUGACAUCUUGACGGUAUCCAACCAGAAAGCCACGGCUAACUACGUGCCAGCAGCCGCGGUAAUACGUAGGUGGCAAGCGUUGUCCGGAUUUAUUGGGCGUAAAGCGAGCGCAGGCGGUUUUUUAGGUCUGAUGUGAAAGCCUUCGGCUUAACCGGAGAAGUGCAUUGGAAACCGGGAGACUUGAGUGCAGAAGAGGACAGUGGAACUCCAUGUGUAGCGGUGAAAUGCGUAGAUAUAUGGAAGAACACCAGUGGCGAAGGCGGCUGUCUGGUCUGUAACUGACGCUGAGGCUCGAAAGCAUGGGUAGCGAACAG